GGUAUCUUGGAGACAAGUAAUCCACUGCAUCAGAUACUAUGACUAGAGAGAACGACUUUGAACGGUAGGGGAGAGGAAAUUUAACAUCGGCUACUCGAACAAUCCCUUUGUGAACAAGAGCCUUGCAGUUGCUAUCAGUUUCAUCUAAAUCAUAUGGUUCAAUGCCCCAAGCUUCAGUAUCCUCUUCUUUUAAUAGAUUAGAGACCACUGAACAAGUGUCAGGGCCUACGUGCAACACUUUCCGCAUGUUAUCCCCAUAUGCUUUCUUCAGUACAGGUAAUGCUCUGUGAAGCUCCGCUGUGCAUGAAGUACCACCUUCAAGUCUACUAAAAGCAUCUGCUGCACUUCUUCCACCUGAACUAUGAUAUACGUAACCAAUGAUCAGCAAUGCACCCAAAACAAGUCCUAAGGACAAUAAAGGAGAUGGACGUGAUUUGGGGUGCAAGGAGCCCACAAAUGGAAUACUACCAGCAUCUGCAAAGCGGCGAGUUGGCCUUCUUGACAUAUUGACAAGUAGUAAUAACUGGGUUGAACAAUCAGUGUGAAGUGAGAUCGAGAUCUUGAGGAUGAAGGUGGGAUCUGGAUCUGCUUCCUUUGGUUUUGCUAGUAGUAACUGUGUCGUCUGUGUUGGGGAAUCUGUAGAGGGAAAAUAAAAU
rnacentral:misc_RNA from 1 species